rnacentral:tRNA from 1 species
GCCCCAUUGGCGCAGUUGGUUAGCGCGUGGUACUUAUAGUAUGCCAAGGUCGCCAGUUCGAGCCUGGCAUGGGGCA